AGGGCGGUUACAAUUUUAAAUUUCGUCUCCAUUGCUGCCAUUGUUUUUGCAGGUUUUUCUGCAAGCCGUCGAAGUCAUGGCGGCGAAUGUCGAAGAUAAAAUGCAGUUCUCAAAGGAGCCCUACAUUGAAGACGUCGGGCCCCGGAAAAUAAAGAGCAUUCAGUUUUCAAUGUUCUCUGGAGAUGAAAUAAGGAAAGCAGCCGAGGUGCAAGUCCACCGUAGUUCUUACUAUGAUGGACUCAAAAAGCCAAUUGUUGAAGGACUGUUGGAUUCCCGAAUGGGUCCACCAAGUAAAAGUGGUACAUGUAUGACAUGCCAUGGGAGUUUUGCUGCAUGUCCAGGGCAUUUUGGAUAUUUGAAUCUCGCACUCCCUGUUUAUAACGUUGGAUACUUUAGUGCUAUACUGGACAUACUGAAGUGCAUAUGCAAGUCAUGUGGUCGAGUACUUCUGGAGGAGGAAAAACGUAAAGAGUUCUUGAGGAAGAUGAGAAAUCCUAAAUUGGAGGCUCAACUGAAGAAUAAUAUAAUGAAACAAGUAGUGAAAAAGUGUGUUGCAAUGGUAGCUAGUAAGAAAGCAGUGGAGUGCUCUCGAUGUGGAUAUAAAAAUGGUACGGUGAAAAAGGGUAACUCAGUUUUGAGUAUUAGUCAUGAUCGCUCACAUGUUGGUGACGGGAGUUUGGAGGAAUGCAACUCGGCAAUUUCUCAUUUAAAAGAAUCCAAGGCAUCCUUUAAUGUGGUUCAUUUUCUCAACCCUAUUAAAGUUCUUUCCCUUUUUAAAAGGAUGGUGGAUGAGGACUGUGAACUGCUUUACCUUUCAGAUAGACCUGAGAAACUCAUUGUAGAGGACAUUGCAGUACCACCUAUAGCUAUUCGUCCUUCUGUUUUUAUGGAUGCUGGGGCGACAAGCAAUGAAGAUGAUAUAACUGUUAAAUUAAGUAUGACUAUUAAAGUAAAUGCUUCUCUACGACAGAGUUUACAAGGCGUAGGUCCAGGUCCAUCAUCCAAAUGUUUGGAUUCCUGGGAGUUCCUCCAAGUUCACGUCGCACAAUAUAUAAAUAGUGAUGUUCGUGGCGUUCCGUUAAAUAUGCAGCUUUCAAAGCCAAUGCGUGGUUUUGUUCAACGUCUCAAGGGGAAGCAGGGACGUUUCCGAGGGAACCUAUCUGGGAAGCGUGUUGAAUAUACUGGCAGAACUGUUAUUUCGCCUGAUCCCAACCUUAAAAUUACAGAGGUGGCAAUACCAAUCUUAAUGGCUCAGGUUUUAACUUAUCCUGAACGAGUUUCCUGUCACAAUAUUGAGAAGUUGAGACAGCGUGUCCGCAAUGGACCUCAUAAGUACCCCGGGGCUAAUCUAAUUAUAUAUCCUGACGGUGCCAUGAUGCAUUUGAGGUUUUCUGCCAGAAAACGUGCUGCUGAUGAACUUAAAUAUGGUUAUAUAGUGGAACGCCAUUUGGAAGAUGGGGACAUUGUUCUUUUUAACCGGCAACCAAGCUUGCACCGAAUGUCUAUCAUGUCUCAUAGGGCUAGGGUGAUGCCUUGGAGAACAUUAAGAUUCAAUGAAUCUGUCUGCAAUCCGUACAAUGCAGACUUUGAUGGUGAUGAAAUGAAUAUGCAUGUUCCUCAAACAGAGGAGGCUCGCACAGAGGCUCUUAUGCUGAUGGGGGUGCAGAAUAACUUAUGUACUCCAAAAAAUGGAGAAAUUUUGGUUGCCUCUACUCAGGAUUUUCUAACAUCAUCUUUCCUCAUUACAAGGAAAGACACCUUUUAUGACCGAGCUGCCUUUUCACUUAUGUGUUCAUAUAUGGGGGAUGCUAUGGACCCUAUUGAUUUGCCAACACCAGCCCUAAUUAAGCCAAUAGAGCUUUGGACCGGGAAACAAUUAUUUAGUGUUCUAGUACGUCCUCAUGCACAUAUGAAGGUUUAUCUGAAUCUCACUGUUUUGGAGAAAACAUAUAGUAAAUCGGGAGAAACAAUGUGUCCAAAUGACGGGUUUGUCUAUUUUCGCAAUAGUGAACUUAUUUCUGGGCAACUUGGAAAGGCAACUCUAGGGAAUGGCAAUAAGGAUGGACUUUUCUCUGUUCUUCUUCGAGACUACAAUCCACAUGCUGCUGCCACUUGUAUGAAUCGCUUAGCAAAAUUAAGUGCACGGUGGAUUGGGAAUCAUGGUUUCUCAAUUGGAAUUGAUGAUGUCCAGCCAGGUGAACUGCUAAAUCGCCAGAAAAAGGCGAGGAUUGAGGAAGGUUAUGUAGCCUGUGAUGAGUUAAUACAGUCAUUCAACAAAGGAAAUCUUAAACUUCAACCUGGUUGUGAUGCUGCUCAAACAUUGGAAGCUGAAAUAACUGGUGUUUUGAAUAAAAUCCGAGAGACAGCUGCCAAGGUUUGCAUGGAAGAACUGCAUUGGAGGAAUAGUCCUUUGAUUAUGUCACAGUGUGGAUCCAAAGGUUCUCCUAUCAAUAUUAGCCAGAUGAUUGCAUGUGUUGGUCAGCAAUCAGUUGGGGGUCGCCGUGCCCCUAAUGGAUUCAUAGAUCGAAGUCUUCCACACUUCCCUAGAAAAUCAAAAAUGCCUGCUGCUAAAGGCUUUGUUGCUAAUUCAUUCUACACUGGUUUGACGGCAACAGAGUUUUUCUUUCACACAAUGGGAGGGCGUGAAGGUCUUGUCGAUACAGCGGUGAAAACAGCUGACACUGGGUACAUGUCUCGCCGAUUAAUUAAAGCUUUGGAGGACCUCUCAAUUCAUUAUGAUGGCACUGUCAGAAAUGCUAGUGGAGGAGUUGUUCAAUUUCUGUAUGGUGAUGAUGCCAUGGAUCCGGCACAAAUGGAAGGGAAAAGUGGUUUCCCUUUAAAUUUGGACAGAUUGUACUUGAAAGUGAAAGCUACCUGUCCUAGUAGAGACAGUGCAAGUUUGGCUCCUCCUGAAAUCUUGAGAGUUCUUGAUGAUAGACUUUCAAGACAUGAUAUGAACCCUGAGGGCGGUUGUUCCGAUGCCUUCAGAAAUUCUCUGAAGGAUUUUGUCCACAAACGCAUUGCCAUAUUUAGGAGCACAAGGAGAACAUUAGGACUGGAUGAAGAGCAUGUUCAGAAGGAUAAUUCUUUUGUCCUAGAAAAUGUUGCUGCACAUAUAUCCGGUAUUACUUCCCGACAGCUACAGGUUUUGCUAGAGACCAGCAUUUCUCGUUACCAUAAAAAAAGAAUUGAAGCUGGAACUGCAAUUGGAGCAAUUGGAGCACAAAGUAUAGGAGAACCAGGGACCCAGAUGACAUUAAAAACUUUCCACUUUGCCGGAGUUGCUAGCAUGAAUGUCACACUUGGGGUUCCUCGCAUCAAAGAAAUAAUUAAUGGAGCCAAAAAUAUUAGUACACCCAUUAUUACUGCCACACUUGUGUCUAGUGAUGAUGUAAAGUCUGCACGAUUUGUGAAAGGUUGUAUUGAGAAAACGGUUUUGGGUGAGAUUGCAAAAGGCGUGAAGAUUGUAUUGACGGCGAGACAAGCAUCAAUAAUUGUCACACUUGACAGCGAGAGGAUUGCAGCUGCACAACUGAUGAUUUCUGCAAUCAGUGUAAAAGAAUCAAUUUUGCAACAAUCAAAAUUAAAAUUGAAGCCACAGCAUAUUGAGAUCGUGUCCGAUAAUAAGUUAAGAAUUCUUCCACCUGAAGCUGAUAGAAGUAAGCUUCAUUUUCAACUACAUUCUCUUAAGUCUAUCCUUCCGAAGGUUCUUGUAAAGGGCAUAUCUACUGUUGAACGUGCAGUCAUUAACAAAGUCAAGGAAAAUUACAACUUGCUUGUGGAAGGUACAAAUCUUCUGGCCGUUAUGGGAACUCCAGGAGUUGAUGGACGUAAAACGACUAGUAAUCAUAUCAUUGAAGUCCAAGCUACUCUUGGAAUUGAAGCUGCAAGAAAGUGUAUCAUCGAUGAAAUACAAUAUACCAUGUCAAGUCAUGGAAUGAGCAUAGACAUACGCCACAUGAUGCUCUUGGCAGAUUUAAUGACAUAUAAAGGCGAAGUGCUAGGAAUCACUAGAUUUGGCAUUCAAAAGAUGAAAGAGAGUGUCUUGAUGCUGGCAUCAUUUGAGAAGACAGCAGAUCAUCUUUUCAAUGCUUCAGUAAAUGGGAGGGAUGACAAGAUUGAGGGAGUAAGUGAAUGCAUCAUCAUGGGUAUUCCAAUGCAAAUUGGCACAGGAAUGCUUAAAGUUAGGCAAAGGGUUCAGCAGGUUUCAAAACUUAACAAUGGGCUAGAUCCAAUUAUAUCCUGAACUCUAAUAUACCAGAUCUAGGAAAUGCCUCAAUGCUAUCAAGUCAUCAUCUGAAGUGUGGAAUAAAUGUAUGGAAGUUCUUCAUGUCAAACUGAACACUAUCUGGCAACUGAUUGGCUGAUUUUCAAGUAUUUGUUGCCAGUGUAUACUAGAUUUGUCAGGGUAGAGAUGUAAUGAUGCAAGGCUCAAGUAGAUUGAAGGACAAAUUCUUUUUCCAUCUAUGUACAGAUUAAAGUAGGCUGAAGUUUUUUUUUUUUUUCCUGAUAAACUGAACUGAAGUUCCUUUCUUUAUUC